rnacentral:rRNA from 1 species
CCUACGGGAGGCUGCAGUGAGGAAUAUUGGACAAUGGGUGGAAGCCUGAUCCAGCCAUCCCGCGUGUAGGAUGACGGCCUUAUGGGUUGUAAACUACUUUUAUCUGGGGAUAGACCUACUUACGUGUAAGUAGCUGAAGGUACCAGAAGACUAAGCACCGGCUAACUCCGUGCCAGCAGCCGCGGUAAUACGGCGGGUGCAAGCGUUAUCCGGAUUUAUUGGGUUUAAAGGGUCCGUAGGCGGAUUAAUCAGUCAGUGGUGAAAUCCCGUAGCUUAACUAAGGAACUGCCAUUGUUACGGUGAGUCUUGAGUGAGGUUGCAGUGGCUGGAAUGUGUAGUGUAGCGGUGAAAUGCUUAGAUAUUACGCAGAACACCAAUUGCGAAGGCAGGUCACUAAGUCUCAACUGACGCUGAUGGACGAAAGCGUGGGGAGCGAACAGGAUUAGAUACCCUAGUAGUC